CAGCAGCCGCGGUAAUACGUAGGUCCCGAGCGUUGUCCGGAUUUAUUGGGCGUAAAGCGUGCGCAGGCGGUUAUAUAAGUCAGAUGUGAAAUCCCCGGGCUCAACCUGGGAACUGCAUUUGAGACUGUAUGGCUAGAGUGUGUCAGAGGGGGGUAGAAUUCCACGUGUAGCAGUGAAAUGCGUAGAUAUGUGGAGGAAUACCGAUGGCGAAGGCAGCCCCCUGGGAUAACACUGACGCUCAUGCACGAAAGCGUGGGGAGCAAACAGGAUUAGAUACCCCGGUAGUCCCUGUCUCUUAUAC
rnacentral:rRNA from 1 species